rnacentral:rRNA from 1 species
AGGUCCUGCCUGCCCAGUGAAAAUUUUUCAACGGCCGCGGUAUUCUAACCGUGCAAAGGUAGCGUAAUCACUUGUCUCCUAAAUAGAGACUAGUAUGAAUGGCUAAAUGAGGACAAACCUGUCUCCUAUAACCCAUCAGUGAAACUGAUCUUCCAGUCCAAAAGCUGGAGUAAACACAUAAGACGAGAAGACCCUGUGGAGCUUAAAACUGACUACCAAUAUACCACCCAUAUUUGGUAUUAAAGCUUUGAGUUGGGGCGACUUCGGAAAAAAACAAAACUUCCGAGCACAGAACCACCACUUCUUACUAAGGCCAACAAGCCAAAGACUUACUUGACCCAGUCAUACUGAUCAACGAACCAAGUUACCCCAGGGAUAACAGCGCUAUCUUCUUCAAGAGUCCAUAUCGACAAGAAGGUUUACGACCUCGAUGUUGGAUCAGGACACCCCAAUGGUGCAGCCGCUAUUAAAGGUUCGUUUGUUCAACGAUUAAUAGUCCUACGUGAUCUGAGU